AAUUCUUUUACUUGCAACUAAGUCGUCUCUAGAUCUCCACUCGCAUCGCCAUCAUUCGCUCUUCGUUUCUGUGUAAAAAGACCAACUCCUCAUUUGACGUUCACCUUCUCAUUUAGACUUCCAAGCACUUUAUACCUCUAAAUUCGUCCAAUUCUCCAUCGAACGCAAUUCGUGCUAGAUCGGCAAUCACACAAUGACCGGGAGAGAUUGUCCACAGCCUCUUGCCAAUUGAAGUGACGAAGCACCACCCACCUCCGAGUCCUCCGUGUGACCAU